GCCGUUUGAAGGCGAAGACUUGCAAAACGAGAAAUGCGGAAAUCUUUCAUAAACGAAGAGGUUUCUUCCCUUCCGCAGUGAACAGUAAAUUUGGGAUCACCUUGGAAGAAAACAUUACCACAGAUCAGCGAAAUGGAAUUUUUGUACAACACAAUUACGAUGGCGAACUACAUGUUCUUACUUCAACCAUGCUUCAACAGUUGUAAAAGAUUAACAUCACUCUUUUUUAACUAUGGGAUGCUACUGGAAAGACCGUUACUUUUCUUCGUGAUCGUUACGUGGUUAAGUAUUUAUGUCACCUGAAACACCGAGUCAUACAAUAAAACAUGCUUCCGUAACUCCCACUGGCGAUUUGUUUUUGAAAGCCUGGCGUCACGGCG